rfam:Salmo salar isolate Sally breed double haploid chromosome ssa03, whole genome shotgun sequence.
GCUGUGAUGGCUGAGUGGUUAAGGCGCUGGACUUGAAAUACAAUGGGGUCUCCCUGCGCAGGUUCAAACCCUGCUCUCAGUU